AGACGAAAGGUGAGACGUCCUUCGCCACA
rnacentral:sRNA from 1 species